UCACCCAAAUACGCGUCACGAGCGCGUGAAGAUAUCAGCGCCCCCACAACGUAGAACCUUCUCGGUAAUCUGUCCUCUGUUUCUUGCUCCAUAAUCCCUUCUCCAUCCUCGCUACAUAUAUUGAUGUUCCUAACAACUCUCUCAAAUUCAUACCUUUUUUAGCUUUUCUUCUCACUCUUUCUGCCACAUUCUCACGCUUUCUCUCUAACCAAACACCAAGGAUAAUACAACCGACUCACCAAUUAAUCUGCCAUGUUUCGUCUGAGUAACAACUUGGUAGGAAUCCUCAACUUCAUCACCUUCCUGCUCUCCAUCCCAAUCCUGGGCGCGGGGAUCUGGCUCCGAAACCAUGGUACAUCUGAAUGCGAGAAGUUCCUUGACACGCCUGUGAUUGUCAUCGGCGUGUUCCUGAUGUUAGUUUCUCUAGCGGGUUUAAUCGGCGCGUGCUGUCGCGUGUCGUGGCUACUCUGGGUUUACCUUUUUGUCAUGUUCCUUCUUAUUCUGUUGCUCUUCUGUUUCACGACAUUUGCAUUUGUAGUCACCAACAAAGGGGCUGGACAAGUGUUGUCUGAAAGGGGAUAUAAGGAGUACAGAUUGGGAGAUUACUCCCACUGGUUGCAGAAGAGAGUGAAUAAUACUAAGAAUUGGAACAAGAUUAAGAGUUGUUUGAUUGACGGGAAAGUUUGCUCUGAUUUUAACGAUAAAUAUCUGAAUGAUACUGUCACCAAGUUUUAUACAGAGCACUUAUCUGCUCUUCAGGUAAUUUCGAAGAUCUCCUCUUUCUUUCUAGUUUGGUUACGAUUUUGCCCAUGGAAAUUUUUUGUUCGUGGAUCUGAAUCUGACUGUUUUUGGGUGAUUGCCCUGAAAAAAAUUGGAGAAUUUGCAGAUAUUUGAUUUUGCUAUCUCUUCUUGAAGUGGGCUUUGCGUUUUGAAAUUUUAAAAAGCAAUAUUACUUUUUGGGUUCUGAUUCCUUUUUGGUAUUUGUUUUUUAAGGACAUGGCUUUAACUUUAUAGAAGAUAGUUUUUUUAGGAUUAAAAAAGCGCCUUUUAAUUGUUUUCUGUGUCCUUUACGUAUUCUUGCGCUUUUGAUGGGAUUCUGCAGCAAACCAUAUCUUUUCGUUUUAUUUUUUUUAUUGAAAGAGAAAAUUUGAAUAACCAGGGGCUAGUUUAGAACCCAAUGGAUGAUAAAUGACUUGUUUGAUUCUCUACCAAGAAGAAAAUUGUGGGUUAAAAUCUUCCUUAUGAAAUAAUGUUCAAUCUUGACAAAUAUUCUAGCAGUAGCAACUUUAUUUUGCAAUGGACUUCGAAGUUUUACUUUUUCGUUUUUCUUUUAAUGUGUUAAAUUCUGAUACAUGCUUGUAUUCUUUUGCAGUCUGGAUGCUGUAAGCCUGCAGAUGAAUGCGGAUUUGAGUAUGUAAGUCCAACCAAUUGGACCUCAACAACUACUGCAAGUUCCACAAAUCCUGACUGCGCUGCAUGGAACAAUGAUCCUAAUACUCUCUGCUUUAACUGCAAUUCAUGCAAGGCUGGAUUGCUAGAUAACAUCAAGAGUGACUGGAAGAAGGUUGCUGUUGUGAACAUUAUAUUCCUUAUUUUCCUCAUCAUUGUCUACUCUGUUGGAUGCUGCGCUUUUAGGAACAACAGAAGGGACAAUAAUGCUUAUAAUUCUGGAUGGAAGCACCCUUAGAGAGAUUCUUUCACCUAGCAUUAUGAAUGGGGACAUCUAUGUUGGAUUUUAUUGAUUAGUUUUAGGCAGCCUUCUCUUUGUUUGCUGCUCAUGCUGUUAUUAAUUCCUUAGUUGUUGCUUUGGGUUGUUCCUUGUGUAGCAUGUUAUAUGCUUGAUUUUUAAUGUUCUUAGAACACCCUGGAAUUAUAUAAAUGUUUCUUAUAUGCUUUGAUGUUGCUUGUUUUUCUUUCGAAUUGGAAAUUGCCUUCAGAGUUUCAGAGGGGCAGAUAAUUUGAUGCCGCGGGGGUGGAUUAUGGAUCAGGCUU
rnacentral:misc_RNA from 1 species